CCCAUGCAGCGGCACGUGACAGGGGGAUCCCAAGUGCUCAUGCAUUGCAUGGGCUGUUCUUUGGUCUAAGUAACCAGAGGAGUAAGGGCUGGGCAAGACCGGUGCCAGCCGCCGCGGUAAUACCGGCAGCUCAAGUGGUAGCCGCGAUUAUUGGGCCUAAAACGUUCGUAGCCGGAUAAGUAAGUCUUUGGUUAAAUCCUGCGACUUAACCGUGGGAAAUCUAGAGAUACUGCUUGUCUUGAGACCGGGAGAGGUUGGAGGUACUCCCAGGGUAGGGGUGAAAUCCUGUA
rnacentral:rRNA from 1 species